rnacentral:rRNA from 1 species
UACGGAGGGUGCAAGCGUUGUCCGGAUUUAUUGGGCGUAAAGAGUCUGUAGGCGUUUUGAUAAGUCACUCUUUAAAGACCCCAGCUCAACUGGGGGAAGGGGAGUGAUACUGUCAGAAUUGAAGAUUGUAGGGGCUACUGGAACUGUCGGUGUAGGGGUGAAAUCCGUUGAUAUCGACAGGAACUCCAAGGGCGAAGGCAAGUAGCUGGGCAAUUCUUGACGCUGAGAGACGAAAGCUAGGGUAGCGAAAGGG